rnacentral:rRNA from 1 species
UACGUAGGGACCGAGCGUUGUCCGGAUUUAUUGGGCGUAAAGCGCGUGUAGGCGGCCAGAAAAGUCCGCUGUGAAAACUCGAGGCUCAACCUCGAGACGCCGAUGGAAACCAUCUGGCUAGAGUCCGGAAGAGGAGAGUGGAAUUCCUGGUGUAGCGGUGAAAUGCGCAGAUAUCAGGAAGAACACCCGUGGCUAAGGCGGCUCUCUAGUACGGUACUGACGCUGAGACGCGAAAGCGUGGGGAGCGAACAGG